rnacentral:rRNA from 1 species
ACUCCUACGGGAGGCAGCAGUGAGGAAUAUUGGUCAAUGGACGCAAGUCUGAACCAGCCAUGUCGCGUGCAGGAAGACUGCCCUAUGGGUUGUAAACUGCUUUUAUACGGGAAGAAAUAUAGCUACGUGUAGUUAUUUGCCGGUACCGUAUGAAUAAGCAUCGGCUAACUCCGUGCCAGCAGCCGCGGUAAUACGGAGGAUGCGAGCGUUAUCCGGAUUCAUUGGGUUUAAAGGGUGCGUAGGCGGAAGUAUAAGUCAGGGGUGAAAGUUGUGGCUCAACCAUAAAAUUGCCUUUGAUACUGUAUUUCUUGAGUACAUUUGAGGUAGGCGGAAUGUGUUGUGUAGCGGUGAAAUGCUUAGAUAUAACACAGAACACCGAUUGCGAAGGCAGCUUACUAAACUGUAACUGACGCUGAUGCACGAAAGCGUGGGAUCGAACAGGAUUAGAUACCCCUGGUAGCAGAGAG